rnacentral:rRNA from 1 species
UAGGGAAUCUUCCGCAAUGGACGCAAGUCUGACGGAGCAACGCCGCGUGAGUGAAGAAGGAUUUCGGUUCGUAAAACUCUGUUGUUAGAGAAGAACAGCGCAUAGAGUAACUGUUAUGCGUGUGACGGUAUCUAACCAGAAAGCCACGGCUAACUACGUGCCAGCAGCCGCGGUAAUACGUAGGUGGCAAGCGUUGUCCGGAUUUAUUGGGCGUAAAGCGAGCGCAGGCGGUCAAUUAAGUCUGAUGUGAAAGCCCCCGGCUCAACCGGGGAGGGUCAUUGGAAACUGGUUGACUUGAGUGCAGAAGAGGAGAGUGGAAUUCCAUGUGUAGCGGUGAAAUGCGUAGAUAUAUGGAGGACCACCAGUGGCGAGGGCGACUCUCUGGUCUGUAACUGACGCUGAGGCUCGAAAGCGUGGGUAGCAAACAGG